rnacentral:sRNA from 1 species
UCUCCCAUCCAAGUACUAACCAGGCCCAACCCCACUUAGCCUCCGAGAUCAGAUGAGCUGGGGAGAGUUCAGGGUGGUAUGGCUGUAGA